GACGAACGCUGGCGGCGUGCUUAACACAUGCAAGUCGAACGGAAAGGCCUUUUCGGAGGUACUCGAGUGGCGAACGGGUGAGUAACACGUGGGUGAUCUGCCCUGCACUCUGGGAUAAGCCUGGGAAACUGGGUCUAAUACCGGAUAGGACCGCACUUUAGUGUGCGUGGUGGAAAGUUUUUUCGGUGUAGGAUGAGCCCGCGGCCUAUCAGCUUGUUGGUGGGGUAAUGGCCUACCAAGGCGGCGACGGGUAGCCGGACUGAGAGGUUGGUCGGCCACAUUGGGACUGAGAUACGGCCCAGACUCCUACGGGAGGCAGCAGUGGGGAAGAUUGCACAAUGGGCGCAAGCCUGAUGAAGCGACGCCGCGGGGGGGAUGACGGCCUUCGGGUUGUAAACUCCUUUCGCCAGGGACGAAGCGUUUUGUGACGGUACCUGGAGAAGAAGCACCGGCUAACUACGUG
rnacentral:rRNA from 1 species